rnacentral:rRNA from 1 species
GAUGAACGCUGGCGGCGUGCCUAACACAUGCAAGUCGAGCGAACAGACGCGGAGCUUGCUCCUCUGACGUUAGCGGCGGACGGGUGAGUAACACGUGGAUCACCUACCUAUCAGACUGGGAUCACUUCGGGAAACCGGAGCUAAUACCGGAUAAUCUCUUGCACCGCAUUGUUCAAUAGUGAAAGACGGUUUUGCUGUCACUUAUAGAUGGAUACGGGCCGCAUUAGCUAGUUGGUAAGGUAACGGCUUUCCAAGGCGACGAUGCGUAGCCGACCGCAGAGAGUGAUAGGCCGCACGGGAACUGAGACGGGGUCCAGACGCCUACGGGAGGCAGCAGUAGGGAAUCGUACGCAGUGGGCGAAAGCCUGACGGAGCAACGCCGCGUGAGUGAUGAAGGUCUUCGGAUCGUAAAACUCUGUUAUUAGGGAAGAACAGAUGUGGAAGUAACUAUGCACGUCGUGACGGUACCGAGUCAGAAAGCCACGGCUAACUACGUG